UACAGAGGUCUCAAGCGUUGUUCGGAAUUACUGGGCGUAAAGGGCGCGUAGGUGGCCUUCUAAGUUGAGCGUGAAAUCCCUGGGCUCAACCCAGGAACUGCGUCCAAGACUGGGAGGCUUGAAUCCGGGAGAGGGAUGCGGAAUUCCAGGUGUAGCGGUGAAAUGCGUAGAUAUCUGGAGGAACACCGGUGGCGAAGGCGGCAUCCUGGACCGGUAUUGACACUGAGGCGCGAAAGCCAGGGGAGCAAACGGG
rnacentral:rRNA from 1 species